GGAACUGGAAGGAGAGAAAUGGACUGAGGACUUCUGGGUCCAUGCAUUCUACUUGUGGCUGCUGCCUCUCUUGGCCAUCCCAGAGUAUCAGGAGUUUAGGAGGACAUUUGUAUCUCAAAGUAUUCCAAGGACUCUAGCACUGUGUGGAAAAUAUAUCCUGCAGCUGGGCUUCCUGCAGCUCAAGAAAGAGAUUUCCAUGCCAAAAAAUUGCCACAGCCCCUUCAGCCUCAGCAACCAUCAACCUGAUCAGUCAGCAAUCAUCAUUCUCAAGGUAAGACCCUCCAUCAGCAAAAAGCCUUUCAACUCACUGAAGGCUUAGAUGAUUGUUACCAUUUUUUAGCAAUAAAGUAUUUUAAUUAAGAUAUGUACA
rnacentral:lncRNA from 13 species